rnacentral:rRNA from 1 species
UGGCGAACGGCUCAGUAACACGUAGUCAACAUGCCCAGAGGACGUGGAUAACCUCGGGAAACUGAGGAUAAACCUCGAUAGGCCAUGAUUUCUGGAAUGAUUCUUGGCUCAAACCUAUAUGGCCUCUGGAUUGGACUGCGGCCGAUCAGGCUGUUGGUGAGGUAAUGGCCCACCAAACCUAUUACCGGUACGGGCUCUGAGAGGAGGAGCCCGGAGAUGGGCACUGAGACAAGGGCCCAGGCCCUAUGGGGCGCAGCAGGCGCGAAACCUCUGCAAUAGGCGAAAGCUUGACAGGGUUACUCUGAGUGAUUUCCGCUAAGGGAAUCUUUUGGCACCUCUAAAAAUGGUGCAGAAUAAGGGGUGGGCAAGUCUGGUGUCAGCCGCCGCGGUAAUACCAGCACCCCGAGUGGUCGGGACGAUUAUUGGGCCUAAAGCAUCCGUAGCCGGUCCUGCAAGUCUUCCGUUAAAUCCAGCUGCUCAACAGAUGGGCUGCGGGAGAUACUACAGGGCUAGGAGGCGGGAGAGGCAAGCGGUACUUUAUGGGUAGGGGUAAAAUCCGCUGAUCCAUAGAAGACCACCAGUGGCGAAGGCGGCUUGCCAGAACGCGCUCGACGGUGAGGGAUGAAAGCUGGGGGAGCAAACCGGAUUAGAUACCCGGGUAGUCCCAGCUGUAAACGAUGCAGACUCGGUGAUGGGUUGGCCUCGCGCCUGCCCAGUGCCGCAGGGAAGCCGUUAAGUCUGCCGCCUGGGGAGUACGGUCGCAAGACUGAAACUUAAAGGAAUUGGCGGGGGAGCACCACAAGGGGUGAAGCCUGCGGUUCAAUUGGAUUCAACGCCGGA